GCCCAGCUAGCUCAAUUGGUAGAGCGUGAGACUCUUAAUCUCAAGGUUGUGGGUUCGAUCCCCACGUUGGGUG
rnacentral:tRNA from 1 species